GGCAGCUUGCUGCUUCGCUGACGAGUGGCGGACGGGUGAGUAAUGUCUGGGAAACUGCCUGAUGGAGGGGGAUAACUACUGGAAACGGUAGCUAAUACCGCAUAACGUCGCAAGACCAAAGAGGGGGACCUUCGGGCCUCUUGCCAUCGGAUGUGCCCAGAUGGGAUUAGCUAGUAGGUGGGGUAACGGCUCACCUAGGCGACGAUCCCUAGCUGGUCUGAGAGGAUGACCAGCCACACUGGAACUGAGACACGGUCCAGACUCCUACGGGAGGCAGCAGUGGGGAAUAUUGCACAAUGGGCGCAAGCCUGAUGCAGCCAUGCCGCGUGUAUGAAGAAGGCCUUCGGGUUGUAAAGUACUUUCAGCGGGGAGGAAGGCGAUAAGGUUAAUAACCUUGUCGAUUGACGUUACCCGCAGAAGAAGCACCGGGUAACGCCGUGCCAGCAGCCGCGGUAAUACGGAGGGUGCGAGCGUUAAUCGGAAUUACUGGGCGUAAAGCGCACGCAGGCGGUCUGUCAAGUCGGAUGUGAAAUCCCCGGGCUCAACCUGGGAACUGCAUUCGAAACUGGCAGGCUAGAGUCUUGUAGAGGGGGGUAGAAUUCC
rnacentral:rRNA from 1 species